rnacentral:rRNA from 1 species
CCUACGGGAGGCAGCAGUGAGGAAUAUUGGUCAAUGGGCUCACGCCUGAACCAGCCAAGUCGCGUGAGGGAUGACUGCCCUAUGGGUUGUAAACCUCUUUUGUCAGGGAGCAAUUGGCGCUACGUGUAGCGUUAUCGAGAGUACCUGAAGAAAAAGCAUCGGCUAACUCCGUGCCAGCAGCCGCGGUAAUACGGAGGAUGCGAGCGUUAUCCGGAUUUAUUGGGUUUAAAGGGUGCGUAGGCGGAAUGCCAAGUCAGCGGUAAAAUCGGGGGGCUCAACCUCGGUCCGCCGUUGAAACUGGCGGUCUUGAGUGGGCGAGAAGUAUGCGGAAUGCGUGGUGUAGCGGUGAAAUGCAUAGAUAUCACGCAGAACUCCGAUUGCGAAGGCAGCAUACCGGCGCCCAACUGACGCUGAAGCACGAAAGCGUGGGUAUCGAACAGGAUUAGAUACCCGGGUAGUC